AGAACGAACGCUGGCGGCAUGCCUAACACAUGCAAGUCGAACGAGACCGCUGACUUCGGUUGGCGCGUCUAGUGGCGCACGGGUGCGUAACGCGUGGGAAUCUGCCCUUGGGUACGGAAUAACAGCGAGAAAUUGCUGCUAAUACCGUAUAAUGACUUCGGUCCAAAGAUUUAUCGCCCAGGGAUGAGCCCGCGUAGGAUUAGCUUGUUGGUGAGGUAAAAGCUCACCAAGGCGACGAUCCUUAGCUGGUCUGAGAGGAUGAUCAGCCACACUGGGACUGAGACACGGCCCAGACUCCUACGGGAGGCAGCAGUGGGGAAUAUUGGACAAUGGGCGAAAGCCUGAUCCAGCAAUGCCGCGUGAGUGAUGGAAGGCCGUUAGGGUGUAAAGCUACGUUUUACCGGAUGAUAAUGACAGUACCGGAAGAAUAAGCUACCGGACUAACUCCGUAGCCAGCACGCCGAC
rnacentral:rRNA from 1 species